rnacentral:lncRNA from 1 species
GUUUGGGCUGAAAUACAAGGAAAUUCGUUGAUGACCAUUCUAGAUUCUUGUGUAGCUCACCAUUCUGAUUUUAACAUUCAUGUCAAUUCCCUAAUAGUUGAUCUCUCCCCACUUUUCUUUUUUGAAACCAGAGAUUGAACCCAGGGCUUUGUGCAGGAAAGGCAAAUGCUUUAUCCCAGUCCAUGAAUACAUGAGCCUGCCUGCCUAGAGGAUCCUCUUCGUGCAGUUCACACUUCUGUGCCAAAGUGCUCUGUGCAAAUGGAAUUGACUACUACUACUACUACUGCUUCAAGGCUGGGUCAUGGGAGGAGUCUUGGUGGUGAGCACGUGGAGGCAAGUGUCGAGUGGAAAGUAGAAGCUUUAUUAAAGGACAGCAGAAAAGAAUUCUCCCGGAGGAAGAAGGGGACCCAAAAGGCAGAAUCCAUGGAAGGGGGAGGUCUUCCCUCUUUUAUAGCUAAGGUCUUCUCUUUUAGUUUUCCUACAU